GGUUCUACGGCCCCGUAAGGGAGACCAUUUGGUCGGGAUUCAUCAACGCUGAUUUUAGUAACCCUAAGCCGGACUGUUUAGUGGAAACUUCGGCUUUGGGGAACUGGUCCAUACUUAGGGGACUGAUGAUGACGCCCAGAUCUUUGCGUUUAGGUAGUUAAAAUACAAUAAAGAAGACCUGUCAAGAGAGAAUGGAGUGCGGGAGGAAAAUCUAGGGGAGGCGGCCGCUGCAAAAGCUUCAUUCGGUGAGGUCUGGACUUAGACCACGAAGGAGACUGGUUCCCGGCCUUCACGCUGCAGAGAGCGUGGUUUCUCUUGUUGACAGACAAGACUGCACAUACCCAGCACUCGUCCCCGGGCUGCUUUUCCAUUCUCAAACGUCAGCAGUCCCAUCAGGGAUUAAAUAUUCUUAGGGCUGGAGAUUUGGACUCAAAUACUACAGCAUACGCUUACUACCACCCAUGCCUCCGUCCCAUGUAAACUUGGCAAGAGUAACAAAAAAAAAAAAAAAAAAAAAAACACACCACGUACACACAAACAAAACUUUAUCUGCCUUAUCCAUUUGUGUGCUUAUUGCCAGAGGCCAAAUGCGUCAUUUGCCCGACUUGAAAGGGUUUAAGUGGGGAACAGUUUUUUCUUAGAAGCAUUUUGUUCCUUUUGGAGUUCAGGUGCUUAGAUAGUCUACCCUUUCCCAUCUAAGAGGAUGCCCUGAAAUGGAAACAGACAUGGCAGCCCCCUGCAGUAUUCUUGCCUGGAGAAUCCCAUGGAAAGAAGAGCCCGGCGGGCUGCAGCCCAUGGGGUCACAGAGUCGGGACUGAAGCGACUGAGCAUAUACACGAGCAGUUUGAUACAGGGCUCUCGGUUCAUCCACCUCACUAUACCUAACCCUGAAUAUUCAUUGGAAGGACCAAUGCUGAAGCUGAAGCUCCAAUACUUUGGCCACCUGAUGCAAAGAGAUGACUCAUUGGAAAAGACCUGAUGCUGGGAAAGAUUGAAGGCAAAAGGAAAACAGGGUGGCAGAGAAUGACAUGAUUGGAGACUCAGCACACCCCCUAGGCCUGACUUCUCAUCUCUUCCAAAUCUGCAUGAAGUGCAUCUCUGCUAGUCUGAGCCCUGCCAUUGCUGAGCUGCCUGGGAGCUAUAGGAAAACAUCAUUAACUCAAUCUGUGUUAACCUGAAACUCUGAAAAUAAAAAUAGCAUCUAGGAGGCCACUUCCCGAGCUUUCUGUUAUUUCAUAUAAAGAUUUUAUUUUUCCUUAAGCUACUGUUAC